ACGCUGGCGGCGUGCUUAACACAUGCAAGUCGAACGAAGAGCGAUGGAAGCUUGCUUCUAUCAAUCUUAGUGGCGAACGGGUGAGUAACGCGUAAUCAACCUGCCCUUCAGAGGGGGACAACAGUUGGAAACGACUGCUAAUACCGCAUACGAUCCAAUCUCGGCAUCGAGGAUGGAUGAAAGGUGGCCUCUAUUUAUAAGCUAUCACUGAAGGAGGGGAUUGCGUCUGAUUAGCUAGUUGGAGGGGUAACGGCCCACCAAGGCGAUGAUCAGUAGCCGGUCUGAGAGGAUGAACGGCCACAUUGGGACUGAGACACGGCCCAGACUCCUGCGGGAGGCAGCAGUGGGGAAUCUUCCGCAAUGGACGAAAGUCUGACGGAGCAACGCCGCGUGAGUGAUGACGGCCUUCGGGUUGUAAAGCUCUGUUAAUCGGGACGAAAGGUCCUCUUGCGAAUAGUUAGAGGAAUUGACGGUACCGGAAUAGAAAGCCACGGCUAACUACGUGCCAGCAGCCGCGGUAAUACGUAGGUGGCAAGCGUUGUCCGGAAUUAUUGGGCGUAAAGCGCGCGCAGGCGGAUCAGUCAGUCUGUCUUAAAAGUUCGGGGCUUAACCCCGUGAUGGGAUGGAAACUGCUGAUCUAGAGUAUCGGAGAGGAAAGUGGAAUUCCUAGUGUAGCGGUGAAAUGCGUAGAUAUUAGGAAGAACACCAGUGGCGAAGGCGACUUUCUGGACGAAAACUGACGCUGAGGCGCGAAAGCCAGGGGAGCGAACGGGAUUAGAUACCCCGGUAGUCCUGGCCGUAAACGAUGGGUACUAGGUGUAGGAGGUAUCGACCCCUUCUGUGCCGGAGUUAACGCAAUAAGUACCCCGCCUGGGGAGUACGACCGCAAGGUUGAAACUCAAAGGAAUUGAC
rnacentral:rRNA from 1 species